rfam:Rattus norvegicus chromosome 10, whole genome shotgun sequence.
GGAGAUUUAGCUCAGCGGUAGAGCGCUUGCCUAGCAAGCGCGAGGCCCUGGGUUCGGUCCCCAGCUCCG